rnacentral:rRNA from 1 species
GAUGAACGCUGGCGGCGUGCCUAAUACAUGCAAGUCGAGCGAACGGACGAGAAGCUUGCUUCUCUGAUGUUAGCGGCGGACGGGUGAGUAACGCGUGGAUAACCAACCUAUAAGACGGGGAUAACUUCGGGAAACCGUAGCUAAUAACGGAUAAUAUUUUGAACCGCAUGGUUCAAAAGUGAAAGACGGUCUUGCUGUCUCUUAUAGAUGGAUCCGUGCUGCAUUAGCUAGUUGGUAAGGUAACGGCUUACCAAGGCAACGAUGCAUAGCCGACCUGAGAGGGUGAUCGGCCACACUGGAACUGAGACACGGUCCAGACUCCUACGGGAGGCAGCAGUGGGGAAUCUUGCACAAUGGGCGCAAGCCUGACGCAGCAACGCCGCGUGAGUGAUGAAGGUCUUCGGAUCGUAAAGCUCUGUUAUUAGGGAAGAACAUAUGUGUAAGUAACUGUGCACAUUUUGACGGUACCUAAUCAGAAAGCCACGGCUAACUACGUG